GCUGGGCAUGGUGGCGCAUGCCUGUAGUCCCAGCUACUCGGGAGGCUGAAACAGGAGGAUCGCUUGAACCUGGGAGGCAGAAGUUUCAGUGAGCCAAGAUUGUGCCACUGCACUCCAGCCUAGGUGACAGAGCGAGACUCCGUUUCGA
rfam:Homo sapiens chromosome 4, GRCh38 reference primary assembly.